rnacentral:rRNA from 1 species
GACGAACGCUGGCGGCGUGCUUAACACAUGCAAGUCGAACGGAAAGGCCUGCUUUCCCUUGUGGAUUGCGGGUACUCGAGUGGCGAACGGGUGAGUAACACGUGAGUGAUCUGCCCCCAACUUGGGUAUAAGCCUGGGAAACUGGGUCUAAUUCCCGAUAGGACUGCAGGGUGGUGCCUGUGGUGGAAAACGAUUUUCUAGUGGUUGGGGAUGAGCUCGCGGCCUAUCAGCUUGUUGGUGGGGUAAUGACCUACCAAGGCGGCGACGGGUAGCCGGCCUGAGAGGGUGGACGGCCACAGUGGGACUGAGAUACGGCCCAGAAUCCUACGGGAGGCAGCAGUGGGGAAUAUUGCACAAUGGGCGGAAGCCUGAUGCAGCGACGCCGCGUGGGGGAUGACGGCCUUCGGGUUGUAAACUCCUUUCGACCGCGAGGAAGCCACCUGGUUGGAAGGGUGGUGACGGUAGUGGUAGAAGAAGCACCGGCUAACUACGUG